UACGGAGGGUGCAAGCGUUGCUCGGAAUUAUUGGGCGUAAAGGGUAGGUAGGUGGUCUCAUUUGUCUGGGGUGAAAUCCUUGAGCUUAACUCAAGAAGUGCCCUAGAAACGGUGAGACUCAUGAGUCCUGGAGAGGCUAGUGGAAUUCCCGGUGUAGCGGUGAAAUGCGUAGAGAUCGGGAGGAACACCAGAGGCGAAGGCGGCUAGCUGGACAGGCACUGACACUCAACUACGAAAGCGUGGGGAGCAAACAGG
rnacentral:rRNA from 1 species